UACGUAGGUGGCAAGCGUUGUCCGGAUUUAUUGGGUUUAAAGGGUGCGUAGGCGGCCUAUUAAGUCAGUGCUGAAAUAUCCCGGCUUAACCGGGAGUGUGGCAUUGAUACUGAUGGGCUUGAGUAGAGUUGAGGUUGGCGGAAUUGACGGUGUAGCGGUGAAAUGCUUAGAUAUCGUCAAGAACACCUAUUGCGAAGUCAGCUAACUAAGCUCAAACUGACGCUGAGGCACGAAAUUGUGGGGAUCAAACAGG
rnacentral:rRNA from 1 species